UUUUUAAAGGAGUUUAGGCAGAGCGGUGCUCAAGCGCCAAAGCGGCACGCUGCGGUUGGCGAGCGAGGCGACACGACCCCGAUAAAAUCUACUAGUUCCACACACGGCUGCACCUCGUGCACCAAUAAAUUAUUAGGGAAAGUCGGAGUGGAGGAUAACUAUGAAAGAGUAGGACGCCCGUGUCAGGAUGACGUGGACUCUUUCACGUCCACGAGUUUACUUUUUUUUUUGUCUCUCGGCAAGAUGUUUUGUUGUUAUUAUUGCUUAUUAGUGAAUAUCCAACUAUCCAUAUGGAGCGGGGGAUUCGAAAACACAGGCAUUUUUCACCGGAGAAAAAGCCUAAACAGCAGCUCUGUCAGGGAUAUCAUUAUGUUGUCCAUGUAAAAAAGAUUAUUCGCGAAUUGCCUUAAUGAAAGCAGAAAAGAAAAAACCGUAUCA
rnacentral:lncRNA from 7 species